GGCGCGGCCAUGGCGCAGCCCCGGGUGCUGCCCCAGAGCAAGGAGACACUGCUGCAGUCCUACAACAAACGCCUCAAGGACGAUGUCAAGUCCAUCAUGGACAACUUCACCGAGAUCAUCAAAACCGCCAAGAUCGAGGACGAAACUCAAGUUUCUCGAGCAACCCAGGGUGAACAAGAUAACUACGAGAUGCAUGUCCGAGCUGCAAAUAUUGUCCGAGCUGGUGAGUCCCUGAUGAAGCUUGUGUCUGACCUGAAGCAGUUCUUGAUCCUCAAUGAUUUCCCCUCUGUGAACGAGGCCAUCAACCAGCGCAACCAGCAGCUGAGGAGUCUGCAGGAGGAGUGUGACAAGAAGCUGAUUGCACUGCGGGAUGAGAUCUCCAUUGACCUGUACGAGCUAGAAGAAGAAUAUUACUCUUCCAGGUACAAAUAGGGCAGUGGACUCUGCCUUACAACUCCAGGCCUUUUUGGGGUAGUUAGUCCAGACCAUCAAAUAGCCCUUAGAGUAUAGGUGUCGAGAAUGUUCCAAAAAAAAUUUCAGUCCUGCUUUUAAUUAGGUCAAACUCUUUCUCUUCAACUAAAGCAACUGCCUUUUCCUUGUAGAUACCCUACAGGGUUUAAAUGUCCUGGUGAAGGAGGUGUUCACAGCAUCCCAGGUUUGAUAGGUAAUUUCCUUAGGCUUCUGUUGUAAUCAUUAGAAAAGAAGAUGAAUUUCCUUGAGGGAGGUCCCUCUAAAGGAGCCUCUGGCUCUCUCCCUGCAGAUACCAGCUUGCUGGCUGGGUCCUGAUGGCAGCUGGUGUCACCUCACCUUCGUGGUGAGUCCUUUCACAAGUGACCUGGUCACACAUUGUGCCUUUUCCUUCACAGUCCACUGCCCCCAGCUGCCUCCAGUCCUGCUGGGGUCAGCAUUUGCAAGGAGCAAAAAAACUUGCUCAGUUUCAUUCAAUAAUGAAGUAUUGUGAUAGGAUUUUCUAAGGAAUGACUUAUUAUAGAUUUGUUUGUGGGAUUUUUAAUAUUUUUAAAAGCCUCUUGUUUAGCAAACAGACUACAGAAUUCAGACACUUUAUUUUUUUUUUUUUUUGUCAUGCACUCCAGCACUUCUAGUUAAUGAAAGCAGAAGAAAAUAAAUUUAAACUUGGUUAUUUUGGCUGCACUUUCCGAGCUAAGUGAAGUCAGUGCAAUAGUUUUAGGACUUUUAAACAAAAUUUUAAAAAUCUUACUUAAAAUUUUACUGACCAGGUUUUCUAUGUUUGCCUUUUGCAUUUUUCUAAGAAUGCUGAAUGCCUAUAACCCCAGCUAAGUCAACUAAAUUGCUCAAUAUAUUUGAAAGUAAGGCCAUUGUUUAUGAAUAAUAUAUGUAUUUUAAGAGUAAAAAAUAAUAAUAUGACACAGCUUAGAGGUAAAAGUUUAGAGUUGUUUUUCCAACUUUAUUCAGUUUUUUGAGGAGGUUGUGAUGAUCACAAACCCAAGCACCUGUGCAGGUGGUGCUAGGUCCAUGACAUAGCAGUGAGCUUAUCCAGAGGGACGUGGUGUGGGAUGAGAGUGCCCCACAAGUGCCAGGCAUGCUUCCCUCACUCUGCCACCUCUGUGUGCUGGUCACUCCCACUUUUGGACUGAGGGGUUUGGGGCUCUAAGAUCACACAGGUUCUGGCCAUGCUGGCAUGGUCUGUUCACCUGCCUGGCCCCAGGUGCCACAUAAAGCAACCCUUGCUGGCAGAACUAAUGUGGAAGCACAAAUCUCGGUGUACAUCAGAUGGAUUUGCCUUCCUGCUCUUAUCUUAUGGGUCACGAGGUGAGGAAACCUGGCAGCUCUGCAGAACUGUGAUCUGGCCCUUUGUUAUCACGUAGCAUUUGGUCGUUUGCUUCCUCCCUUCGUGUGCUCUUUCCUGUCUUUUUCUGCACCAAAGAAAUUGUGUCUGUGUAAAUACAGAAACAGUGAUUUAUUCAAAGUCCUUUUAUAAUUAGAAUACUACAAUAUUUUUAAUGAAAUCUUAUUGUCUAAUGUGGGGGAAAGGGUUUCUGUUAUGUCACGGCCAUGUUUCAGUGGCUGUCAACACAACAGCCUGUUUGCCCCCAGAGGGCAGUUCCUUGCUGUCCUGGGAAUGCCUGGGCAGUUGUAGGGGCAGGUGUUUGCCAGACUUUUGAUGUGCACAUGGGGCUUUUGAUGAGACCCAAAAGCAAAUUCUUGAAAGUAAGCCCGAGAAGAUUGUCCUGCAAGAAUUUUUGCUUUCCUGCCCUGUGAUCAAGUAGUUUUCUAGAGCUGUCCCUCUGCCCUCAGACUGGCUGGGUGCCCCAGGGGAGUAGUGAAGUCCCUUCCACGCCCUGAGGAGCCCUCCCAGGACACAGCACUCCCCUGCCAUGCUGUGGACAGGUUCUCCUGGGAGGUCUAUGACAGAACAGGAGUUGUAGUUCUGGUUCAGUCCUGAUGGUCUGUGUUAACUGAACCCAGCUCCACUGUGCUGGGGACUGAUCUUCCAAGGGAUUUUACAGAAGCCCCAGAUAUAAACCACUGCCUUCUCCCUUCUCCUGCAAAGCCAGCUGGGUGACGCUGCCAGAAAAGAGCUCAGCUUGCACCUAGUGCUUUGUGUGCUUGUUCCCCAAAGUGGUAACUGCAAGUCCAGCUUGCCCUCUCUCAUCCUAACCCCCAGACCUGCAUUUGUGUUCCAUUGCUCCCUCCUCUGAGAUCACAGGAGCUGUCCUGAGUGUGGGGUUAAAUCUCACAUAUUUCAUGUUUGUGCAAUAUGAACUGUCUCAUAUUUCUAUACUUAAAAUAUUUUCCUAAGCAUCAGUCCAUACAUUACAAAUGUAAAUAAAGCUGCAACAACAAAAUCACUUGACCCACUGGGUUUGUUUUUCUCUGAAUGCAAGCUGCUUUUUGCUCCAGCACUCACUUUGUCUUGGGUGUCUCUUGUGUGUGCAGCUCCUUCUUCUCUUUGGGAUUUGUUUUGGUUUUGUGCCAGUUCCUUCCAUGUUUCUUUUUAGUUUUGGCCCUUCCACAUUAUGUUUUCCUCAGAGUGGGCAAGAAUUAGCCAGUUGUUUAAAAACCUUUUUUUCCCACACUGCUGGUUCAUCCAGUGUUGGAGUCCAGCCAGCUGCUUUUAGAAACCCUGUUAGCUCAGGCUCUUUGAGAAAAGGCAGGAGCUGUCAGUAUUUUAUAAUCAAACUGGGAAUCUUCAAUGGAAGACCCAAACCUGUGGAGCACUUUUUUGAAAGGGCAGGGGUGCAAAUAGGGUUCUUCUUUAUUGUGACAGGGACAGGCCCCAAAACAAUUGUGGCAGGUGUUUUUUCUGAAGUAAAAUUUAAAGCAGGAUUUCUAUUUUUUCCUUACAUAGGUUGCACACUAAUUCCAAGUAAAAUAAUUAUGGAUAAGGUCUAUGUUUCACCCAUCAGUAGCAGAAGUUGCAUAUUUGGGGAUGCCAGGACUUUAGCUUAGAUCUUUUCAGAUACUUGGAGUGUCUGGAUUAGAAUUGAGCCUCUGUUUCAUUUUGUAGCCACAGUUCUUCUCUAAAAUUGCCCCAAUCCUCACCAAGCCCAAGAGAUUUUAGGACCGGCCCUUAGGGGGUUGUCUUAGGGAAGGCCAGUGUCACAUGAUUUAGGAUUAUUUCAUGAACACAGACUUUACAUCCAGCUUUUUUUUUUUUUUUUCCAUUUUCUUAAUGCUUUGCUUCUGUCUUGCUCCCUUCACCCUUUCCAUCCCUCCCUUCCUCUGUCACCACACCUGCUCUCUCCUCACUGGGGUUGUUUGUUCUGGAAAGCUACAGUCUGUGUGACAGCAAUGAUCUCCCGCUGUGCGAAGCCUACUGGAGACAAGACUUUGCCACGCUGUCCCCCGAGAGCCUCUCGAUGCCUCUGGCAGCUGCCACA
rnacentral:lncRNA from 1 species